CCUGCCCCUUGAGGCGUUGCAGUCUGAUGCCUGUGUCAUAAGGGGCAGAGAGUGAAAGGGCUAUGUCUACGCCCCAGAACGGUGGGUACUUGGGGUGAUCAUGGCUCCGACAGA
ensembl:snoRNA